UACGUAGGGACCAAGCGUUGUUCGGAUUUACUGGGCGUAAAGGGCGCGUAGGCGGCGUGUUAAGUCACUUGUGGAAAUCUCUAAGCUUAACUUAGAACGGUCAAGUGAUACUGACGUGCUAGAGUGCAGGAAGGGCAACCGGAAUUCUUGGUGUAGCGGUGAAAUGCGUAGAUAUCAAGAGGAACACCAGUGGCGAAGGCGGCGACCUGGGCCAAUACUGACGCUGAGGUGCGAAAGCGUGGGGAGCA
rnacentral:rRNA from 1 species